UACGGAGGGUGCAAGCGUUGUUCGGAAUCAUUGGGCGUAAAGCGCGUGUAGGCGGUUUCCUAAGUCUGGUGUGAAAGCCCGGGGCUUAACUCCGGAAGUGCACUGGAUACUGGGUGACUAGAGGACGAGAGAGGAUAGCGGAAUUCCUGGUGUAGGGGUGAAAUCCGUAGAUAUCAGGAGGAACACCGGUGGCGAAGGCGGCUAUCUGGCUCGUUUCUGACGCUGAGACGCGAAAGCGUGGGGAGCAAACAGG
rnacentral:rRNA from 1 species